AACGGUGGAUCACUUGGCUCGUAGGUCGAUGAAGAACGACGUGACACUCGAUAGUUGAAGUGAAUUGCAGACUCACAGAACGUUGAUCAUUUGAACGCACAUGGCAGCGUCGAAGUUACUUGUCGACGCUACGUCUAGCUGAGGGUCU
rnacentral:rRNA from 1 species